rnacentral:rRNA from 1 species
UACGUAGGCAGCGAGCGUUGUUCGGAGUUACUGGGCGUAAAGCGUGCGUAGGCGGUGUCUUAAGUUUGUUGUGAAAUCUCCCGGCUUAACCGGGAGGGUGCGGCGAAUACUGAGAUGCUGGAGUGCGGGAGAGGUAAGCGGAAUUCCUGGUGUAGCGGUGAAAUGCGUAGAUAUCAGGAGGAACACCUGCGGUGUAGACGGCUUACUGGACCGUAGCUGACGCUGAGGCACGAAAGCGUGGGUAGCAAACAGG